UACGGAGGGGGCUAGCGUUGUUCGGAAUUACUGGGCGUAAAGGACGCGUAGGCGGUUGUGUUAGUCAGAAGUGAAAGCCUCGGGCUUAACCCGAGAAUUGCUUUUGAUACUGCACAACUAGAGUUCGGAAGAGGAAAGUGGAAUAACUAGUGUAGAGGUGAAAUUCGUAGAUAUUAGUUGGAACACCAGAUGCGAAGGCGGCUUUCUGGUCCGAUACUGACGCUAAAGCGUGAAAGCGUGGGGAGCAAAC
rnacentral:rRNA from 1 species